GCUCCACCGUGCCCACCCUAGCUUUGCCUCUGCCUAACGCCGCCGCCUCCCAGCGUGCACCCUCCUCAGCGCCGCCGGCCGUGUCCUCCAUUAGCGCCACCGCCCCUCGAAGCUCGCCUGCUCCACCGCCUUCACCUUCCAACUCGACCUUGCCGGUCACCCAACAGCACCUAAAUCCACCGCUUCAAGUGGAGCAACCGCCGCCGCCUUGCCCUUACGGCGACCACCUAUUCGCCGGAGUAAUUAGUGGUGAGAAUGGGACACUCGCGUCAGCUCGUGACGAACGGUGAGCUCGUGACGAGCCCUAGCUUCAUGGCUCCCCUUGCCGGCCGGGAUUCCUCCACCUUGCUACUCCGAUGAGUGGUGUUCGACCUCAGGUCCAUUCCGGGCCGCCCUAUCAGUAGGGUGUUGGCCAUAGUAAUUAUAAAGUUCUUGUUCUUGCUGCUACGAGUACGCCAUAUGCUCUGGACCAGGCUGUGCAGCGACAGUUUGACAAGCGUAUCUACAUUCCUUUACCUGACUCGCAAGCAAUGCAGCAUAGGUUUAAGGUCCAUCUUUGGGGAUACAGCACACAGCUCAUGGGAAAGUGAUUUUGAGGUCUUGGGUCGUGGGACAGAUGGAUUUUCUGGUUCCGACAUCGCUCUCUGUAACAGCACAAGUUGUUUCGCACAAUCCUGAGGUGUGUCUGUACUCUGUACAAUGUGACAAGUUUCUAAUUCCUGCUAGUAUUUGUUAACAGGUGAAAGAUGUGUUGUUUGAGCCCGUGUGCAAGACACAGGACGCAAUGUUCUUCUUUUGGACUGAUGGUGGCGCUAUACAGACCACGAUCGAGGAGCUUGCAUCCAAAGGCGCCUGAUCGCCUCACAGAUUCUUUCACCCCUGAUCCAAAAGACCGAUGUCAAGAAGAUCAUAGCUGGCAGAGGUCGACCGUUGUCAAGACGGAGGUACACAAGAAGUAUAGGAAUGAGUUCGGCGAGGACGGUUGAUGCGCCGCAAGUACUCUCUGUACUCAAUAAGUGCACCAAGGAGUAAUGAUUCUUAAGGUGGGGAGUCCUUGUGGUGUAGCUUGAUAGUAGUAGUUUUCAGUUUCUCUUGCAUCUAUUUCUCCUAAUUUUCUUUUGUGCAACUUUUGUUGUGCCCUUAGAUCAUAAUUAAUGUCGCAUCUAAAAUUACUUUUUACUCUUUUCGACGGGGUGUGUCAAGUUUUGUGCCGGGCUACCUGCAACGAGACCUGAAUCAUGUAAGCUCCACUUGACAGCUGAAUUAUACGUUGUCCUGUGGAUUCAGUGGUACCUCCUGUAAACUUUUAUGAAUUGGUACCUUGUGGGGCUCAGCCUCAGGCGCGGAUGCUAGUUACUAAUUGGAUCUACAUUUA